AUUGAACGCUGUCGGCAGGCCUAACACAUGCAAGUCGAGCGAGCGGCGCGCGGUUGAGUAAUGUCUGGGAACCUGCCGCAUGGAGUGGGUUAACUGCUGGAAACGCUAGCUAAUAGCGCAUACCAUCAGAUGUGUCCAGAGGGGAUUAGCUGGUAGGUGGGGUAAUGGCGCACCUAGGCGACGAUCCCUAGCUGGUCUGAGAGGAUGACCAGCCACACGGGAACGGAGACACGGUCCAGACUCCUACGGGAGGCAGCAGUGGGGAAUAUUGCACAAUGGGCGCAAGCCUGAUGCAGCCAUGCCGCGUGGAUGAAGAAGGCCUUCGGGUUGUGAAGUACUUUCAGCGGGGAGGCGUUACCCGGAGAAGAAGCACCGGCUAACUCCGUGCCAGCAGCCGCGGUAAUUC
rnacentral:rRNA from 1 species